GCCGUAGGGGCCUGACGUAAGUGUUAAUAUGUCACAUGUGCCUUCCAGUGAAGUCCUUAAAAAGGUUGAGGUUUGCAUGCCAUCAUUAGUGCCUCCUGGCUGUCCUGUAUUGUGGCUUCAAAUGCAGCUGAGCCGACCAGAGGGACAGAGGUACCACUGCAGUCAGCCCACCAGCCCCCCCUCCCCCUCCCCUUCCUCUUCCCCUCAUCAGCACAUUCCAACACACUGACACUGUAACUGCCAAGGCAGGUUUCCAGUGAGGCGCAUGGUCAGUGAGCCGGCCUGCCAGUCGCUGGCCGUAUGCCUGCCAUGUGAUUCUCACAUUGCUGCACAAUGACACGCCGGGAUUACUGUGAGACAGUGGUGGGGGAACAUGCUUCAGGCCUUCAGGGCCAUUCAUGCCCACAGAAAAUACCCAGUCUGUAUCAUGUUUGUGCGGAAAAAGCUCUUUUUUGUCAAAAUAAAUAAAUGCAUCAGGAUUUAU